CGCCCUACGGGGGAAAGCAGGGGAUCUUCGGACCUUGCGCUAAUAGAUGAGCCUAAGUCGGAUGAGCUAGUUGGUGGGGUAAAGGCCUACCAAGGCGACGAUCUGUAGCGGGUCUGAGAGGAUGAUCCGCCACACUGGGACUGAGACACGGCCCAGACUCCUACGGGAGGCAGCAGUGGGGAAUAUUGGACAAUGGGCGAAAGCCUGAUCCAGCCAUGCCGCGUGUGUGAAGAAGGCCUUUUGGUUGUAAAGCACUUUAAGCGAGGAGGAGGCUACUUGGAUUAAUACUCUAGGAUAGUGGACGUUACUCGCAGAAUAAGCACCGGCUAACUCUGUGCCAGCAGCCGCGGUAAUACAGAGGGUGCGAGCGUUAAUCGGAUUUACUGGGCGUAAAGCGUGCGUAGGCGGCUUUUUAAGUCGGAUGUGAAAUCCCUGAGCUUAACUUAGGAAUUGCAUUCGAUACUGGGAAGCUAGAGUAUGGGAGAGGAUGGUAGAAUUCCAGGUGUAGCGGUGAAAUGCGUAGAGAUCUGGAGGAAUACCGAUGGCGAAGGCAGCCAUCUGGCCUAAUACUGACGCUGAGGUACGAACGCAUGGGGAGCAGACAGGAUUAGAUACCCUGGUAGUCCAUGCCGUACACGAUGUCUACUAGCCGUUGGGGCCUUUGAAGGCUUUAGUGGCGCAGCUAACGCGAUAAGUAGACCGCCUGGGGGAGU
rnacentral:rRNA from 1 species